UAAAUAGCCUUUCCUAAGAAGCAUUCACACAAUUUGAAGUUAUACUCGGUUUGUAAUUGUUCGAUCUUAUAACAUUUUGUCGAAUUCGAAUAGAAAACGAAAGAUGAAAGUGUACUUGAUUGCAGCAUUUUCAUUCCUAGCUGUAUUUGGAGUUGUACAAUCAUUUACUCCGGAAGAAUUCGAAGAUGCUGUGUGCUCUAUACCUGAGAAAUAUCUACUCAGAUUCCUAAAUUGCACUGUUAGUCGUGCCCCAGAAAUCUUUCAAAAG